ensembl:snoRNA
CUGCAUCUAUUUGACAAACCUGGAGCAAAUUACCAUUGCUCAUUUGGUUUUUACUGAGAUGCAAAAGUAAAGUCAUUCCCUGCGCUUUCUGCCUGUCCAUCACAUGACAGCCCAGAUUGAAUAAGGGAAUAUAUAU